CCCUUAGACGUUCUGGGCCGCACGCGCGCUACACUGACCAGUGCAACAAGCAUCCGUCCUUGGCCGACAGGCCCGGGCAAUCUUUGAACGCUGGUCGUGAUGGGGAUAGACUUUUGCAAUUUUUGGUCUUCAACGAGGAAUUCCUAGUAAACGCAAGUCAUCAACUUGCAUUGAUUACGUCCCUGCCCUUUGUACACACCGCCCGUCGCUACUACCGAUUGGAUGGUUUAGCGAGAACUUUGGACCGGAGCUCGGGUGGUCAGCAAUGGCCGCCCGAGACAUACUGGGAAAUCGCUCCAGCUUGAUCAUCUAGAGGAAGUAAAAGUCGUAACA
rnacentral:rRNA from 1 species